AAAAACAUGGAAUAGAAAUUCAAGACCGAUUGAUGUAGAAGCGGGUUUUAUGGUCAAAAAGAAUCGAUGGAAGGUCCAUAAACUUUGUUUCAUCCUACAUUCUCCUGUAUGCGAGUUGAAGCAGUCAAAACAAAUUGCAAAACCGAGAGAGAGAUCUGGAGAGUGUAGGAGCCAUGAGCAUGGAGUUUUUAUCAUCCAUCUGUUGCUGCUUUCGUCGUUCUUCACUGCUAUCAGCUGAUGCCAUGCCUGCAGUUGCUCAGCCUUUGAUACCUAAAAACUUGGAAAACGAUGACCAAGUUCCAAUCCUGGUUCCAUACUUUCCUGUCAAUCCAAAUCUAUCUCGAUUGUAAGGUAAGUAAAUAAAUCCUUUGUUUCAAAUUCAAGUUGGAAGAACAAAAGAUUAGGUGAGUGAUAUGGGGAUGGGGUGAUUUGGACGCAGGUCAUCUGCAACUUGAGGGCGUCUGACAGUUUUCAUUUUCAACCAACUGCUCAAAGUAUUAUAGAAAUGCUGAUCUGAAGAGCAGUACGCAUCCAGAGAAUUUUUAGUUUUUCAUUCGCGGCUUUCACUACUCUUCUUCCCCACUUCUAGCAGUGUAAUCUCUAAUCAGUUCAGGGUUUUGUAUAAGAUUUGACAAUGGAAUUACCAUCUGCAGAUUCUAUGGCUGUAUUUUGAUAAAUCAAGUGAUGG
rnacentral:lncRNA from 1 species